rnacentral:lncRNA from 1 species
CCCUCCCAGCCCUGCAUCCUCCGUGCCCUAGACCUGCUCCCCAGAGGAGGGGCCUUGACCCACAGGACGUGUGGUGGCGCCUGGCACUCAGGGACCCCCAGCUGCCGCAGCCCUGGUCUCUGGCGCAUCUCUUCCCUCUUGUCCCGAAGAUCUGCGCCUCUAGUGCCUUUUGAGGGGUUCCCAUCAUCCCUCCCUGAUAUUGUAUUGAAAAUAUUAUGCACACUGUUCAUGCUUCUACUAAUCAAUAAACGCUUUAUUUAAAGCCAGUUGCCU